GUUUGAUCCUGGCUCAGGAUGAACGCUAGCGGCAGGCCUAACACAUGCAAGUCGAGGGGCAGCAUAAAAUAAGCUUGCUUAUUUGGUGGCGACCGGCGCACGGGUGCGUAACGCGUAUGCAAUCUACCCUAUACUGAGGGAUAGCCCGGAGAAAUUCGGAUUAACACCUCAUAGUAAUUAGAUAUCGCAUGAUAUUUAAUUUAAAGGUCACGGUAUAGGAUGAGCAUGCGUCCCAUUAGCUAGAUGGUAAGGUAACGGCUUACCAUGGCGACGAUGGGUAGGGGGCCUGAGAGGGUGGUCCCCCACACUGGUACUGAGACACGGACCAGACUCCUACGGGAGGCAGCAGUGAGGAAUAUUGGUCAAUGGGCGCAAGCCUGAACCAGCCAUGCCGCGUGCAGGACGAAUGCCCUAUGGGUUGUAAACUGCUUUUAUUUGGGAAUAAACCUAUUUACGUGUAGAUAGCUGAAGGUACCAAAUGAAUAAGCACCGGCUAACUCCGUGCCAGCAGCCGCGGUAAUACGGAGGGUGCAAGCGUUAUCCGGAAUCAUUGGGUUUAAAGGGUCCGCAGGCGGUGCUAUAAGUCAGUGGUGAAAUCUCAUAGCUUAACUAUGAAACUGCCAUUGAUACUGUAGCACUUGAAUUCGGUCGAAGUGGGCGGAAUAUGACAUGUAGCGGUGAAAUGCAUAGAUAUGUCAUAGAACACCGAUAGCGAAGGCAGCUCACUAGGCCUGGAUUGACGCUCAGGGACGAAAGCGUGGGGAGCAAACAGGAUCAGAUACCCUGGUAGUCCACGCCGUAAACUAUCAAUACUCGUUUUCAGCGAUAUACAGUUGGAGACUAAGCGAAAGUGAUAAGUAUUGCACCUGGGGAGUACGAUCGCAAGGUUGAAACUCAAAGGAAUUGACGGGGGCCCGCACAAGCGG
rnacentral:rRNA from 1 species